CGGCGGACGGGUGAGUAACGCGUGGGUAACCUGCCUCAUACAGGGGAUAACAGUUAGAAAUGGCUGCUAAUACCGCAUAAGACCACAGUACUGCAUGGUACAGUGGUAAAAACUCCGGUGGUAUGAGAUGGACCCGCGUCUGAUUAGGUAGUUGGUGAGGUAACGGCCCACCAAGCCGACGAUCAGUAGCCGACCUGAGAGGGUGACCGGCCACAUUGGGACUGAGACACGGCCCAG
rnacentral:rRNA from 1 species